rnacentral:tRNA from 1 species
AGCCCGAUAGUCUAGCGGUCAAGGAUCUCGCGCUCUGGACGCGGGGGCGGCAGUUCGAAUCUGCCUCGGGCUA